rnacentral:rRNA from 1 species
GACGAACGCUGGCGGCGUGCCUAAUACAUGCAAGUUGAGCGCUGAAGGUUGGUACUUGUACCGACUGGAUGAGCAGCGAACGGGUGAGUAACGCGUGGGGAAUCUGCCUUUGAGCGGGGGACAACAUUUGGAAACGAAUGCUAAUACCGCAUAAAAACUUUAAACACAAGUUUUAAGUUUGAAAGAUGCAAUUGCAUCACUCAAAGAUGAUCCCGCGUUGUAUUAGCUAGUUGGUGAGGUAAAGGCUCACCAAGGCGAUGAUACAUAGCCGACCUGAGAGGGUGAUCGGCCACGUUGGGACUGAGACACGGCCCAAACUCCUACGGGAGGCAGCAGUAGGGAAUCUUCGGCAAUGGACGAAAGUCUGACCGAGCAACGCCGCGUGAGUGAAGAAGGUUUUCGGAUCGUAAAACUCUGUUGGUAGAGAAGAACGUUGGUGAGAGUGGAAAGCUCAUCAAGUGACGGUAACUACACAGAAAGGGACGGCUAACUACGUG